rnacentral:piRNA from 1 species
UGAGAAAUGAUCAUAAACUCUUCUUCCA